rnacentral:rRNA from 1 species
UCCUACGGGGGGCAGCAGUGGGGAAUAUUGGGCAAUGGGCGCAAGCCUGACCCAGCAACGCCGCGUGAAGGAAGAAGGCUUUCGGGUUGUAAACUUCUUUUCUCAGGGACGAAGAAAGUGACGGUACCUGAGGAAUAAGCCACGGCUAACUACGUGCCAGCAGCCGCGGUAAUACGUAGGUGGCAAGCGUUGUCCGGAUUUACUGGGUGUAAAGGGCGUGUAGGCGGGGAAGCAAGUCAGAUGUGAAAGCCCGCGGCUCAACUGCGGGACUGCUUUUGGAACUAUCUAGCUAGAUUGCAGGAGAG